rnacentral:rRNA from 1 species
UACGUAGGGUGCGAGCGUUGUCCGGAAUUACUGGGCGUAAAGAGCUCGUAGGCGGCCUGUUGCGUCCGCUGUGAAAGCCCGGGGCUUAACCCCGGGUCGGCAGUGGAUACGGGCAGGCUAGAGGUAGGUAGGGGAGAAUGGAAUUCCCGGUGUAGCGGUGAAAUGCGCAGAUAUCGGGAGGAACACCGGUGGCGAAGGCGGUUCUCUGGGCCUUACCUGACGCUGAGGAGCGAAAGCGUGGGGAGCGAACAGG